AGAGUUUGAUCCUGGCUCAGGAUGAACGCUGGCGGCGUACUUAACACAUGCAAGUCGAACGAACCUUCGGGUUAGUGGCGGACGGGUGAGUAACGCGUGAGAAUCUGCCCUCAGGAGGGGGACAACAGCUGGAAACGGCUGCUAAUACCCCAUAUGCCGCGAGGUGAAAUGAAUUUCGCCUGAGGAUGAGCUCGCGUCUGAUUAGCUAGUUGGUGUAGGUAAUGGCUCACCAAGGCAUCGAUCAGUAGCUGGUCUGAGAGGAUGAUCAGCCACACUGGGACUGAGACACGGCCCAGACUCCUACGGGAGGCAGCAGUGGGGAAUUUUCCGCAAUGGGCGAAAGCCUGACGGAGCAACGCCGCGUGAGGGAUGAAGGCCUCUGGGCUGUAAACCUCUUUUAUCAAGGAAGAAGAUCUGACGGUACUUGAUGAAUAAGCCACGGCUAAUUCCGUGCCAGCAGCCGCGGUAAUACGGGAGUGGCAAGCGUUAUCCGGAAUUAUUGGGCGUAAAGCGUCCGCAGGCGGCCCUUCAAGUCUGCUGUUAAAAAGUGGAGCUUAACUCCAUCAUGGCAGUGGAAACUGUUGGGCUUGAGUGUGGUAGGGGCAGAGGGAAUUCCCGGUGUAGCGGUGAAAUGCGUAGAUAUCGGGAAGAACACCAGUGGCGAAGGCGCUCUGCUGGGCCAUCACUGACGCUCAUGGACGAAAGCCAGGGGAGCGAAAGGGAUUAGAUACCCCUGUAGUCCUGGCCGUAAACGAUGAACACUAGGUGUCGGGGGAAUCGACCCCCUCGGUGUCGUAGCCAACGCGUUAAGUGUUCCGCCUGGGGAGUACGCACGCAAGUGUGAAACUCAAAGGAAUUGACGGGGGCCCGCACAAGCGGUGGAGUAUGUGGUUUAAUUCGAUGCAACGCGAAGAACCUUACCAGGGUUUGACAUCCUGCGAAUCUCUUGGAAACAGGAGAGUGCCUUCGGGAACGCAGUGACAGGUGGUGCAUGGCUGUCGUCAGCUCGUGUUGUGAGAUGUUGGGUUAAGUCCCGCAACGAGCGCAACCCACGUCUUUAGUUGCCAGCAUUUAGUUGGGCACUCUAGAGAGACUGCCGGUGAUAAACCGGAGGAAGGUGUGGAUGACGUCAAGUCAUCAUGCCCCUUACAUCCUGGGCUACACACGUACUACAAUGCUACGGACAAAGGGCAGCAAGUUCGCGAGGACAAGCAAAUCCCAUAAACCGUGGCUCAGUUCAGAUCGUAGGCUGCAACUCGCCUACGUGAAGGCGGAAUCGCUAGUAAUCGCAGGUCAGCAUACUGCGGUGAAUACGUUCCCGGGCCUUGUACACACCGCCCGUCACACCAUGGAAGUUGGCCACGCCCGAAGCCGUUACUCCAACCCUUGUGGAGGAGGACGUCGAAGGUGGGGCUGAUGACUGGGGUGAAGUCGUAACAAGGUAACC
rnacentral:rRNA from 1 species